ensembl:lncRNA
GGCUGAUAUUUCUGCAGUCUGAGGGGAGCUGCACGCCCCAGCACACACGCAGUUUAGAGGGAGCAUUGGUCAGGAGACCAUAAAAAUGGAUGCUAUUCCCUCCAGCACCGUUCUCAAACAAUACUAUCCAGGUCUGGUUUGCGAGAGUAACUGAGCUUGCAGCCUGGUCCCCAGCCCUUCUUAUCAUGUCAAUGUGUAGCAGCUUCCCUGUCAAUCAUGUCCACAGAGGCUGUAUUGUCGCUACCUACCGCCCAUCCACUAAGCCCCACUCCUCCCCCAGUUUGAAGAACAGAGGACAAAAGGAUGACGGAUGGGUGAAACUCCCUCUCUGGGGAGUACAGUAUGGGAGGUGUGUGCUAGGGCUGCCAUACAACGGCCACAAAGAUCACAUUCAACCCAAACACAAUACAGUACAAUACUAUAGAGCCCCUUCGGCCAGGACAGGACCGGCCCCAGGCCAGCACAGCACCACAACGCCUGGCUGCUACACAGAGCUGGGGGUUAGGGUUAGCACCAACAACUAAAAAUAGAGAGUGGGACAGCAAAGGGGUUGAGGAAAAAGUGGAUAAAAAGAGGAGAGUAAGAGAGAGGGACCGAGAUGGGUGAAGAGAAGGUGGAUAAAGAAAAACUAGCUGGGGGACAAAGGAUAGCAAAUGAUAUAGAGAGAGAGGGAAAAGUUGUUUUUGACCAAGGUUUAGAGACUGUAGAAACCUCCGUAGUGACCCCCACUGUGUCUUCCACUGUAUCUCAUGCCUGCUGCCCAGUAAGGAGAAUGGUAAUUGUCCAACUGGGUAAUAAUUAGCAGACUGCACCUCCCUCCCUUUGUCAGUAUGUGUGCCGGUUGAGCUCGCUGUGUGCGACUGUUUAUUUUCGAGUAUGACUCACACUUCCUGUGCCCAACCAAUGAGGCCUCAAUGGAACAGUAGGGCCUCCUCUCAUUCUCAAUUCCACACAGCAAUAAUAUUUUUCAAACUGUGCGGGGUACUUGAAUGGAUGAGGUGGCUCUGGCAUUAAUUUACUAGUGCACAGGGACUGCGGUAGAUUUCUUUGGAAGGUAGAUUUUUUUAAAUGUAAAAAAUAGAGCACCACGACUGAUGGCAGGGAAAAGGCCACCGUUAGACACAGUCAUUGCAUUCCAGUGUUUCUUGAGUGAAAUCUUCUGGGAAUUCAUCACGCCAUCAUCACUACUUCUGCUUACUUAGUCAAUAAUGGUUGGCGAUGAUGACGGGUUUCUAGGUUUUUCUGCAGGAUCUGUCUCCCUUCGGUGUCCUGCCUGCUCUCCGGGGGAAAGACCUGUUUGUAAUGGAAUCUACAGCCCACUGGGCCACUUUAUUAACCUCUUGCAGCUCCCCCCCUACUUUGUGCAAUUUCCGCCUGAAGACAUACCCAAAUCUAACAGCCUGUAGCUCAGGCACAGAACCAAGGAUAUGCAUAUGGGGGGGACAAUUUCAGUGAAAAACAUCAGAGGGCCACAGUACUUGUGCAAAGUUUCAGAAUGAUAACUUCCAAAAUGAGUGUGCUACAUGACAUUUAUCAUGAAGUCACCCAGGUGUCCCACACAAGUAGCCCAAAUGUACCCAUGUGGCCAAAUUGGUGAAGGUAUACAUUUUGAAACAAAUAAGUAUACAAAAUACCAAAAUGCUAUUCUAACACACCCCCCCAAAAAAUUGAGUAAAAUAAAUGAGAAAAAAAAUAAUGGAAAAAAAUAAUAAUUAUUGAUUAAAAAAUAUAUGAAAAAAUAUAUAAAAAUACAUUUACAAAAUAACAUGGCUAACUAUUUACACACUUUCAAUAUUUGGAAGACCCUCUAUCAAAUCAAAUCAAUUUAUAUUGCCCCAGCCUAAAACCCCAAACCGCAAGCAAUGCAGGUGUAGAAGCACGGUGGCUAGGAAAAACUCCCUAGAAAGGCAAAAACCUAGGAAGAAACCUAGAGAGGAACCAGGCUAUGAGGGGUGGCCAGUCCUCUUCUGGCUGUGCUGGAUGGAGAUCACAGUGGUUGUAGAGGGUGCAACAGGACAACACCUCAAGAGUAAAAAUGAACAAUUUAGGGUUCCAUAGCCGAAGGCAGAACAGUUGAAACUGGAACAGCGGCAAGGCCAGGUGGACUGGGGACAGUAAGGAGUCAUCAUGCCAGGUAGUCCUGAUGCAUGGUCCUAGGGCUCAGGUCCUCCGAGAGAGAGAAAGAGAGAAUUAGAGAGAGCAUACUUAAAUUCACAGAGGACACCGGAUAAGACUCCCAUUCAGAGUCAGUGUCACUGUGAAAGACAAUGUUCAGUUAGAAUAGUUUUACAUAUGAGCCCUGUAUCAACAGGUAUAAUAAACAGAUAUAUAUAUAUAUAUAUAGAGAGAGAGAGUUGAAGGUUGAAUAUAUUAGGUUGAAUUAUAUUAUUAUUACCUGCUAGAUCUACUGUCUCUUUUAUAUUAUGAAAUUUCGGCUAGAUCUACUGUCUCUUAUAUUAUGACAGACCAGCUAGAUCUACUGUCUUUAUUAUAUUACAACAGACCAGCUGUAUCUACUGUCUCCAUUUCACUUUGGCCAUUGAUGUGGUCCUGCCCUCCCCUCAACAGCCUCAAAUAGGCUAUUUCAUGUGGGUUGGGGUGGGGCGGCAGACACACGCAUCUCACAUUUCAUGACAUUAUAUGUUUAUAUAUUGCUUCUAAAAAUUUUUUACAAAAUCACUAAUAAUAUUUUAUAUUAUUAAUUUCAAACAAGGGCAUUAGCAUGAUAAGAACUUACCAGUCCAAAACGAUGUCCUCUCCCGUUAAAAAUAUUCCUCCACAAUCGCUAAAUGAAGCAUCCUACAACAAUCUGUCUCACCUUCCCAAUCAAUUUAUUCUAAAACAUCUGUAUAUCUAGACUUAGAUUUAGCUUUCCCUGACUUAGUCGUCAUAAUGAUUGAUAUAUAAUUAGCCGAAUCUGCGCGUUCACCAAACAAUGCAGUGCGUAAUAUGCGUAGCUUCUUCCGGUAUGAAACUUCAAUAGCGAAUGACUCACUUUACGCUGAAGCUUACUCCAUGGGUUGGUCUUGCAACACAUAAACAUGGCGUAUUGUCGUUUAGCUCAGCUCAUUGGCUAUCUACCCAGCUAGAUUUCAAGAUGAUCAGUGGUCAUUGGUUAAAACGAAACAGCGGGCAAAUCAUUGGUGCACAAUGAUGUCAUGACUUUGUGUUACAAACAAACCAGUUGAUUGCAAUGAAACCAAACAUGACUGGAAAAGUCACGUUCUGUGUGGGUUAUUUACCUGGAAUGUGUCGUCGUAAAUGGAAUGAGACGGAAUUCACGACACAAGCGGUUCACAAAAUGUUUCGUGUUCGGCUAUAAAAACAGAUUUUAUCAAACAAAAGAUCAUGCAUUGUGUAACAAUGAGCAUUGGAAUUGCAAACAGACGAAGAUCGUCAAAGGUAAAUUUAUUUAUUUUAAUGCAGUUUGUGAUUGUUAUGCCUGUGCUGGUUAAAAUUGUUUAACAAUCGCAUUGUAUACUUUCGCAGUAAAUCCUUAUUUAAAUCUGACAACGCAGUUGGAUUAGCAAGAUUCUAGGCUUUCGAUACAUGUGAGACACUUGUAUUUUCAUGAAUGUUUAAUAUGACUAUUUAUGUAGCGUAUGUCGUGGAAUUUCAGCCCGGUUCCGUGCGCAGAGAGGUUAAAGGUGCACAGGAGAGUAAUUGUGAUAAAGUCUCAAAGCAAGGGGUUUCAGACCUGGUUUGAAUGAGUGUGUUUUCAUUCUUAGUCCUGGCACUAUGUUUAUUCUGCUCGUAAAGUCUGACCACAAACUUUAAUAUUAGGGAUGCAUGAUAUAUCAGUAAGCACAUCGGAAUCGGCCGAUAUUUGCUAAAAAUGCCAACACCGGCAUUGGCCCGAUGUCUAGUUUAACGGCGAUGUGCAAAAAGCGAACGUGCAUACCUAAUAUAAUGUAGGUAGACGACGUAAUGACGCCACGAAAAAUACAGAGCUACACAUGCAACAGAGCAAUUCCUAACCUAGCCCACAAUGUCUGCUGCGUGGAUCUAUUUUGAAGUUUCAAAGGAAGAUAACAAAAUGGACAUAUGCAACGUUUGUGCCGCUAUUGUUUCCCGAGGAGGGGAGAAGGUGAAAUCAUUCAAUACCACAAACCUAAUUACUCAUUUGAAAGUGCAUCACCCCCAAACGUUCAGCGACUACUUAGAACAAAAGCAGAAAAAAACUAAGCGCACUUCUAACAACUAAACAAGUUCAAGUCGAGCAGUCAUUUGAAAGAAUAAGAACAUUUCAGCGAGACAACUCAAACGCAGAAUCCAUUAACGCCAAGAUAAUGGAAUUCAUUGCCCUUAAAACUUCUUACGGCUGAAAUCCUGUUAAAGGGAUCGACAGCCAGUGACGGUGCAUGGCGCCAAAUUCAAACAACCGAUAUCUCAUCAUUUAAAUUCCUCAAACAUACAAGUAUUAUACACCAUUGUAAAGAUAAACUUGUUGUUAAUCCCACCACAGUGUCCGAUUUUGAAAAAGGCUUUACGAUGAAAGCACACCAUCUGAUUAUGUUAGGUCAGAGCCUAGUCACAGAAAAACACAGCCAUUUUCCAGCCAAAGAGAGGAGUCACAAAAAGCAGAAAUAGAGAGAAAAUUAAUUACUAACCUUUGAUCUUCAUCAGAUGGCACUCAUAGGACUUCAUGUUACACAAUACAUGUAUGUUUU